rnacentral:rRNA from 1 species
GACAGAGGGUGCAAACGUUGUUCGGAAUUACUGGGCGUAAAGCGAGUGUAGGCGGUCCGAAAAGACGGGUGUGAAAGCCCUGGGCUCAACCCAGGAAGUGCACUCGAAACUGCCGGGCUAGAGUACUGGAGAGGUUGGUGGAAUUCUCGGUGUAGAGGUGAAAUUCGUAGAUAUCGAGAGGAACACCGGUGGCGAAGGCGGCCAACUGGACAGAUACUGACGCUGAGACUCGAAAGCGUGGGGAGCAAACAGG